AUACGGAGGAUGCGAGCGUUAUCCGGAUUUAUUGGGUUUAAAGGGAGCGUAGGCGGACGCUUAAGUCAGUUGUGAAAGUUUGCGGCUCAACCGUAAAAUUGCAGUUGAUACUGGAUAUCUUGAGUGCAGUUGAGGCAGGCGGAAUUCGUGGUGUAGCGGUGAAAUGCUUAGAUAUCACGAAGAACUCCGAUUGCGAAGGCAGCCUGCUAAGCUGCAACUGACAUUGAGGCUCGAAAGUGUGGGUAUCAAACAGGAUUAGAUACCCUGGUAGUCCACACGGUAAACGAUGAAUACUCGCUGUUUGCGAUAUACUGCAAGCGGCCAAGCGAAAGCGUUAAGUAUUCCACCUGGGGAGUACGCCGGCAACGGUGUAACUCAAAUGAAUUGACGGGG
rnacentral:rRNA from 1 species